rnacentral:rRNA from 1 species
AUUGAACGCUGGCGGCAUGCUUUACACAUGCAAGUCGAACGGCAGCGCGGGCUUCGGCCUGGCGGCGAGUGGCGAACGGGUGAGUAAUACAUCGGAACGUGCCCAGUAGUGGGGGAUAGCUCAGCGAAAGCCGGAUUAAUACCGCAUACGACCUGAGGGUGAAAGCGGGGGAUCUUCGGACCUCGCGCUAUUGGAGCGGCCGAUGGCAGAUUAGCUAGUUGGUGGGGUAAAGGCCUACCAAGGCGACGAUCUGUAGCUGGUCUGAGAGGACGACCAGCCACACUGGGACUGAGACACGGCCCAGACUCCUACGGGAGGCAGCAGUGGGGAAUUUUGGACAAUGGGCGAAAGCCUGAUCCAGCAAUGCCGCGUGUGCGAUGAAGGCCUUCGGGUUGUAAAGCACUUUUGGCGGGAACGAAAAGGACUGUGCCAAUACCACGGUUCGAUGACGGUACCCGCAGAAUAAGCACCGGCUAACUACGUG